GUGGGUAGAGCUCUGUGGUAGAGUUCAUGUUUAGCAUGCAUGAGGUCCUGGGUUCAAUCCCCAGUACUUCCA
rnacentral:tRNA from 1 species